UGUUGGACUGCAGUCAUUUGUCGUCUUCCUGUGCUGGUUCAAGUUUAGCUGUUAUUAUUUACAGUGAUGCUAUUGUCAUUUUUCAAGAAACAAAAAUACUUAGUUAGAAAUAGUCAUGGAACCCAAUAAGUUUUAUGGAAAACGUAAGAAAGGUGAAGAAUAUGAAGUUAGAACUAUCCCUGGGUAUGAAUCAGAAGAUUCUGUCUUAGAUUCAGGUAGUGAGGAUGAUAUUGAGAUAGUAGAAAAGCGUCAAGGUGACAUAAUUAUAGGCGAGAGUGAUAAUGAUAGUGCAGAGGAUGGUGAUAACGCUGUACUUGUGAAUAAUGAAAGUGAUAACGAGAAUGUUAGUGAUGAAUUUCAAGUCAAUUAUGAUUGGAGACGUUCUAACAAUCGUAUUAUUCGCCCUGUUCAACAAUGGAAGUGUUGUCUCCCUUGUGCACUGGAAGAACCUCAUCUACCUAUGACCUAUUUUAGGCAGUUGUUAGACAAUAAACUUUUGGAAAAUGCUGUAGAUCAAACAAACUUAUAUGCAAUACAGAAAGACAUUUCUAAACCAAUAAACACUGAUAAAAAUGA